CGAGGCUGAGAAAGAAGCUGCGGAGAAAGCAGAGCUCCUACGUGAGAAUAAUUCUCUCAAAGAAGAACUUAAUAGAAAGAUAGCAGUGAUCUCAAAACUGAGCGAAGAAACUGAAGAUCUCCGAAACAAAACAGAGAUAUUGACUUUCAAAAAUAUCGAAGUAACCGGUGAGAAAGAGGAGGUCUUCAGGGCGUACGAACAAAUACUGUGCAGAACAAUAGAGCUGGAAGAGACAUUGGAUGACUUCUACUCCAAACCACCCUGCUCAAGAUGAAGACCCGACACCAUAACUAGCUGUCCAAUCUCUUCUUAAAAACCACCAGUGAUGGUGCAGCCACGACUUCUGGAGAC